GUGCCAGCCGCCGCGGUAAUACAGAGGGUGCAAGCGUUGUUCGGAAUUAUUGGGCGUAAAGCGCGUGUAGGCGGCUUGUCAAGUCGGGUGUGAAAGCCCUCAGCUUAACUGAGGAAGUGCGCCUGAAGCUGACGAGCUUGAGUGCCUGAGAGGGUGGCGGAAUUCCGCAAGUAGAGGUGAAAUUCGUAGAUAUGCGGAGGAACACCGGUGGCGAAGGCGGCCACCUGGCAGGUAACUGACGCUGAGACGCGAAAGCGUGGGGAGCAAACAGGAUUAGAAACCCCCGUAGUCC
rnacentral:rRNA from 1 species